rnacentral:rRNA from 1 species
CAGUCGCCACGGUAAUACGUAGGUGGCAAGCGUUGUCCGGAAUUAUUGGGCGUAAAGGGCUCGCAGGCGGUUUCUUAAGUCUGAUGUGAAAGCCCCCGGCUCAACCGGGGAGGGUCAUUGGAAACUGGGAAACUUGAGUGCAGAAGAGGAGAGUGGAAUUCCACGUGUAGCGGUGAAAUGCGUAGAGAUGUGGAGGAACACCAGUGGCGAAGGCGACUCUCUGGUCUGUAACUGACGCUGAGGAGCGAAAGCGUGGGGAGCAAACAGGAUUAGAUACCCGUGUAGUCCCUGUCUCUUAUAC